rnacentral:rRNA from 1 species
AAGAAAAAAAAAAAAACUUUCAACAACGGAUCUCUUGGUUCUGGCAUCGAUGAAGAACGCAGCGAAAUGCGAUAAGUAAUGUGAAUUGCAGAAUUCAGCGAAUCAUCGAAUCUUUGAACGCACCUUGCGCCCUCCGGGAUCCCGGUGGGCAUGCCUGUUCGAGCGUCAUC